GAACAAAGUAAAGAUUGCGCCAGAAGGGGUCUGUUUUUUCAACUUUUCUCAAAUACUAUUUGUCCAUUGUCUUGUCAAUCAAAGUUUGACACUAACAGAUUAGUUGUAGGCCCAUUCGUUUUCAUUGCAGCCCUGUUUGAACACAUAGUUACGCUAAUGCCGUAUUCACGAUACUCAGUGAGUCAACUCGCAUCCAGCUCCAGUAGCUGCAUAGAAAGAACCUGCCUCUCCUACACAAGUGAAUCAACGAGGAUGAACAAGCAGCACUUUAGAUGGUAGCGGGUUGAACAGGCUGUGGUUGGGGUGGCUGAGCUUCCUUGAUGAUCUUCUGGGCCUUCCUUUGACACUGGGUGCUAUAUAUGUCCUGGAGGGCAUUCUGGUGACCUAUUGAAAAUAGUUCAACAAUGAUAUAGCAAAUUAAGAUGUGUGAUUAAGAUGUGUGACC
rnacentral:lncRNA from 1 species